UCGCUCCUACCGAUUGAAUGAUCCGGUGAAUAAUUCGGACUGCAGCAGUGUUCAGUUCCUGAACGUUGCAGUGGAAAGUUUAGUGAACCUUAUCACUUAGAGGAAGGAG
rnacentral:rRNA from 1 species